CACGGAGUUAGCCGGAGCUCAUUCUCCCGGUACUGUCAUUAUCAUCCCGGGUAAAAGAGCUUUACAACCCUAAGGCCUUCAUCACUCACGCGGCAUUGCUGGAUCAGGCUUUCGCCCAUUGUCCAAUAUUCCCCACUGCUGCCUCCCGUAGGAGUCUGGGCCGUGUCUCAGUCCCAGUGUGGCUGAUCAUCCUCUCAGACCAGCUAAGGAUCGUCGCCUUGGUAGGCCAUUACCCCACCAACUAGCUAAUCCUACGCGGGCUCAUCCCUCGGCGAUAAAUCUUUGGUCCGAAGACAUUAUAAGGUAUUAGCUGAAAUUUCUCUCAGUUAUUCCCAACCGAAGGCAGAUUCCCACGCGUUACGCACCCGUGCGCCACUAGACCCGAAGGUCUCGUUCGACUUGCAUGUGUUAGGCAUGCCGCCAGCGUUCGUUCUGAGCCAGGAUCAAACUCU
rnacentral:rRNA from 1 species